rnacentral:rRNA from 1 species
AACGAACGCUGGCGGCAGGCCUAACACAUGCAAGUCGAGCGCACCUUCGGGUGAGCGGCGGACGGGUUAGUAACGCGUGGGAAUAUGCCCUUCACUACGGAAUAGCCUCGGGAAACUGAGAGUAAUACCGUAUACGCCCUUCGGGGGAAAGAUUUAUCGGUGAAGGAUUAGCCCGCGUCUGAUUAGAUAGUUGGUGGGGUAACGGCCUACCAAGUCUACGAUCAGUAGCUGGUUUGAGAGGAUGAUCAGCAACACUGGGACUGAGACACGGCCCAGACUCCUACGGGAGGCAGCAGUGGGGAAUCUUAGACAAUGGGCGCAAGCCUGAUCUAGCCAUGCCGCGUGAGUGACGAAGGCCUUAGAGUCGUAAAGCUCUCUCGCCAGAGAUGAUAAUGACAGUAUCUGGUAAAGAAACCCCGGCUAACUCCGUGCCAGCAGCCGCGGUAAUACGGAGGGGGUUAGCGUUGUUCGGAAUUACUGGGCGUAAAGCGUACGUAGGCGGAUUGGAAAGUUGGGGGUGAAAUCCCGGGGCUCAACCCCGGAACUGCCUCCAAAACUAUCAGUCUAGAGUUCGAGAGAGGUGAGUGGAAUUCCAAGUGUAGAGGUGAAAUUCGUAGAUAUUUGGAGGAACACCAGUGGCGAAGGCGGCUCACUGACUCGAUACUGGCGCUGAGGUACGAAAGUGUGGGGAGCAAACAGGAUUAGAUACCCUGGUAGUCCACACCGUAAACGAUGAAUGCCAGACGUCGGGGGGCUUGCCCUUCGGUGUCACACCUAACGGAUUAAGCAUUCCGCCUGGGGAGUACGGUCGCAAGAUUA